UGAAGAUCCACCGGGAAGGCCAAUCGUGGCAGGUAAUGAAGGGCUGUGUGAGAAUAUCUGCCGCUUUGUGGAUUAUUAUUUGCAACUCCAGGUGGGUAAUUUACCUUCAUUUGUGCAGGACACUACAGCAGUUCUGAAAAGAUUACAGAAUAUCCAAAUGGAGGACAACAUGUGGCUGGUCAUGGCAGAUGUUGAAUCUUUAUACACAAGUAUUAAACAUGAUGAUGGUUUAAAAGCAACAGCAGAUUUUUUGAGAGGCUGCAAGAGAGGUGGAUUUUUUGGAUCUCCGUAUCACGGUAGGCGAGGAUGGAACGCUCAAAACAGAAAUCUAUAGGAAAAAGACGGCAGUUAAUUCCAUUUUGCACUCCGAGUCAGCACACCCUAGGACAACUAUUAACGGAAUCCCCACAGGUUUUCCUUCAUCCAGGAGUUUAUGGCGGAGAAGUAUAAAUCAUCUUUAGGAAAUGUUGCUUUUAGGGGAGGCCUCCACAUCUGAACUUAAAUGUUAUGUUAUAUUAGAAAAUUAUUGGGAUUGCGAAUGGACUAAUAGGCUAAGAAUAUUCUGUAGUAUAAGUUGAGAAUUGGCUGUUUAAAAAAAAAAAAAUUUUGCACAUGAAA